rnacentral:lncRNA from 1 species
CAGAAUAUGAAGAUUCGUCAUGGACAAACAUGAUAAAUGUUGAUGCAAUUGAAUAAUAUUUUAUACUUGAAAUUCUUGUUAAUUAAAUAAUUUUUAAUAUAUUUUUAGUUUAAGAUGAAUUGAAUGAUACAAAGUCUUAGCAUUUUGCAUCCUGUAUAUAGAAGUCCUUGCUCUACCACUGCUAUAUUGCAUGACUAUCUUUCUCUCUUGCCUUGUCUUGGAUUAACAAGAGAAUGAUUAGAGUCUUAUCUCAGCUUCAUAAAUUAUUCAAUGAAGUAUAUGCACUUGUGAGAACUAAACCACAUAUUCCAUCUUAUGCUGCA